GUGAGGAAUAUUGGGCAAUGGGCGCAAGCCUGACCCAGCCAUGCCGCGUGCAGGAUUAAGGCCCUCGUGGUUGUAAACUGCUUUUAUACAGGAUGAACCUCUUGAACGUGUUCAAGACUGACAGUACUGUAAGAAUAAGGAUCGGCUAACUCCGUGCCAGCAGCCGCGGUAAUACGGAGGAUCCAAGCGUUAUCCGGAUUUAUUAGGUUUAAAGGGUGCGUAGGCGGAAAGGUAAGUCAGCGGUGAAAUCCCAUAGCUUAACUGUGGAACUGCCAUUGAUACUGCCAUUCUUGAGUACAGUUGAGGUGGGCGGAAUGUGUCAUGUAGCGGUGAAAUGCUUAGAUAUGACACAGAACGCCAAUUGCGUAGGCAGCUCACUAAACUGCCACUGACGCUGAGGCACGAAAGCGUGGGGAUCAAACAGGAUUAGAUACCCGUGUAGUCC
rnacentral:rRNA from 1 species